CUGUUGUAAAAUAUAUAUGCAUAGAAAAGACUGGAAAGCAUAAAUCAAAGUUUUAAAUCAGUGACUUUCUUUGGUAAUAUAUAAAAUUAUGGGAAAAUUGUUUUGCAGUGUAGUGGUAUUGUUCUUAUUUUGUUUUGUAUAGAGUAUUUUCCUGAAGAUAUAUUAUUUAGUAGUUAGCAAAAAAUACACAUGUAUGUAUUGUUACACUGAGUCAAGUCUUUCACGAAAAAAUUUAGAUGUUUAUUUUUAUCUUUUAUUUCCCUGUACUAGCUGUCCCCCUAAAUUUUGAUCCAUUAAGUUAAAUAAACUAAGAAAAGAUAUUUACCCUGUCUCUAGAAAAUAAAAAUCCAUUUUCUGUCAUCAUUCCAUAUAUCCAGUUUAUUAGAAUAAGUUCUAUUAUUUGUCUGGGGUUCGCUUUUUGCGCUUUUCCAUAAAUCAUAUUUUUGAUUGCUGACCUCCUAUUUGUUCUGAGAUUUCCACUCGAUGUAUUAUCCAUUUCUUUCCAGUCUUCUUCCCCACAUCUCAUCCACCCCUCCCAUCCUGGGGUCCUCUUUCAGGCACACAUGCAGAUAAAGCAGUUGGGAAGCCAUGGAAAGUUUUAAGCAGGGAAGUAAUAUGAUUUAUGCUUUUAAAAGAUUACUGUGGGAGUUCCCGUCAUGGCUCAGUGGUUAAUGAAUCCGACUAGGAACCAUGAGGUUGCGGGUUCGAUCCCUGGCCUCGCUCAGUGGGUUAAGGAUCCAGCUUUGCCGUGAGCUGUGGCAUAGGUUGCAGACGUGGCUGGGAUCCUGCAUUACUCUGGCUCUGGCGUAGGCCAGCGGCUACAGCUCCGAUUCGACCCAUAGCCCGGGAACCUCCAUAUGCCGCAGAAUCGGCCUUAGAAAAGGCAAAAAGACAAUAAAUAAAUAAAAUAAAAUAAAAGAUUACUGUGGUUGCUGUGUAUAUCAUAUUGUUUGGGAAUGAGAAAGAGAAAAGUAAACUUUAUAUAAAAAUUCAUAAAGCUUUUCUUUAUAAAAAUAAAAUCAGAUUUUAAAAUGUGAAAUACUUGCUAUAUCUGUCUAUAUUGUUCAGAAGGGUUUAGCCUCAGCAGUGGGGAAUAAUUAGCCAAAACCUAAACAUGGCUCUGGUCCUAUUUAGUAAAUCAUAUAAGAAAGACCUAAAAGGAUAAAAGUGUGUCCUACAAUCUAAACUGUAUCCCAGAACAAAGCUUAAGCACGCUGAUAGAAAUACAAAAAUAUCCAGCAUUCAAUGUGAUAAAAUUCACAGUGUCUGAGUCCAAUCAAAGAUUACGAAGCAUGCAAAGAAACAGUAAAUUAGGAUCUCUAAAUAGGUGGAAAAUCAAUCAAUUGAAACCAGAACUGACACACGUGUUAGAAUUAGCAGAUAAAAACACUAAAACUUAUUGUAACUGUAUUCUGUAUGUUCAAAAAAUUAAGCAGACUUAAAAAAAAUAACAAUAACCCAAUUGAGCAGUUCCCGUCGUGGCUCAAUGGAAACAAAUCUGACUAGCACCCUUGAGGAUGCAGGUUCCAUCCCUGGCCUUGCUCAGUGGGUUAAGGAUCUGCAUUGCCAUGAGCUGUGGUAUAGGUUGUAGAUGCGGCUCGGAUCUGGCAUUGCUGUGGCUAUAGUGUAGGCCAGCAGCUGUAGUUCUGAUUUGACUCCUAGCCUGGGAACCUCCAUUUGCCGUGGGAGUGGCCAUAAAAAUAUCCCCUUCCCAAAAGAAAUAGUCCAGUUGAACUUCUAGAGUUAAAACUAUAACGUCUGAGUUGAAAAAUACACUGGAUGGGAUAAACAGUAGCUUAGACACUGCAGAAGAAAAAGAUUAGUGAGUGUGAAGGCAUGACAACAGAAACUAUGCAAAAAUUAAUGGAUCCAUGUAUUUUGUCUGGGUCAAGGAAGAACAUGGAAACUCCUCAGUGAAAAAAGUUUCCAUGAAGGUGGAACAAAAUUGGAAUUGCUAAGCUGAUCUUUGCUCUGAGAGUGUAGUCAGGUAGUAACUAUGGUUUUGGGUCUGUGGGGUGGUAGGCAAUAGAGCUACUCCCAAAUUAGUGAUCCACCUCAAUGUGAUGACUAUCCUGUCUUGUACCUGAAGAACCGCUCUGGUGACUGCAGCAUCCAUCACCACAAAGGCAGCAAUAACAUGCUCCAGUGCAGGCUGUGUUGAGUGAAGAAUUUCCCUGGACUCUAUAGGUUUCAGCUGUAUUAACAGGCAGAAGCAACAUAGCAUAUUCUAGACACCCAGCUUCUUAUAGCCUUUGUGGAGCUAAUCAUUCUCAGAGAGAGAGGGAACAGUCAGUUUGGGUUCUAUCUACAAGCCAAGGGCAAACUAGGUUGGUCUUUCAUGAGGAGUGAGCAUUCUGAAAGAUUCUGGAACAUAUCAAGGAGGGGGAACCUAGUACAGAAGAGAAAAUGUUGUUGCUUUUAACGUGGGCAUGAGUGUUAUACCUUAAAUUGCUCCUGAGGGAUGGUUAUUAUGCUUCAAAUUGAAACUUGAACACUCUAGAUACGUGGAAGUUGAGGUGUAUUUCUUAGCUCUUUAUUUGCUAAAAUGUUUCUAGAAAAAAACUACCAAAAUAAAUAAGAACAAAUAGUCCUAGAAGAGAGAUUUUUGGAAAAUCUGCCCAAUUUAAACUUUGCCUUCAGAUUCCACUGAACGUCAUUAUUAUUUUGCUUUGUGACAAAGAAGGAAGUUAUUGAGAUAAAUAUGUAGCUCUUACCCAAUUCUGUAACUCCUCUUUAUCUACAACUGCUAUUCUGAGUGGUCAUAGCUAAUACAUACAUGGAUUUAUUUUGUGCCAAGUACUAUUCUGCACAUUGAUUUAACUCAUUAAAUAUAGUUCACUGAAGAACUCUCAAAUCUAGCCUACUCAUAAAAAACCCCCACCAUUAGAAUGUGCAACAUUUCCUAUGGGGAAAGAAAGGAGUGUGAUAAAAAUAAGUCCUCUCUGUACAAGACUUAACUUGAUGUAGAAUUAAAAUUACUUAUUUGCAGAUUUCAUGUGAUGAAAUUUUAUUUGGACUGUCUUUUGCAAAAACCUUAGCAUUCAGGCAUGCUUGCACAUGAAUGCAAUGAUUUAGGGCCUGUUACACAAAAAUUGUUGUAACUAUAUGUAAAGCCAUGUAAAACAUUAGAUCUAUCAAAAUGCUUCUCUCUAAAGUGCUCAUGAAAGAAAUGAGACCUAGAGGGAGUGGUAGGAAGAGAUUGUACUAAUUUGAACAGAAUUGCCCAUACAUGCAAAUCUCAAAAGCUUCAAUAGUCUGUUAUUUGCAAGUAAAUCUGUUUCCUGAUAUGCAGUUUCUUCUGUCUAAUUACAAUGAAAAUUGUUUUCAACCAUUUUUAAACAAUAAAAAGUUCUCUAGUCUCCAAUUAUGAUUUAUAUAACUAUAGAUAAUCCCAAAGUCCAAAGCAAAAAUGUCAACUAUACCGUCCUUUUAUCUGUUUUUCAAAAAGUAAAAAUCUGUUUCAUUUGUAUUCAAAGAACAGCUUUCUAUAUGAAUAAUUCCCAAAGCAUGAGAACCAGAACACAAUAACUUAGAAAAUACACUAAUGUUUGAGAAUUAAUAGGUUUUGGUUCUUCAUAAAUAGAAUUUUUUAAAGAAAUACCUCUUCAUUGGGUAUUCUCAAAUUACUAUACUUUCAAUAUCAAAUGAGUGUUAUUGGGAAACACUGCAAAAUUAGAAGUAACUUUAAAAAACAUUUUAAUUAAAAAAACUCUUGGAGCUCCUGCUGUGGUGCAGUAGGUUAGGGAUCUGACUACAGUGGCUUAGAUGACUGCAAAGAUGGGGAUUUGAUCCCUGGCCUGGGAACUUCUAUAUGCCACAGACACAGCCAUUAAAAAUUCCUGGUGGGUGAUCAAGGUGGUGGAGGAGUAAGACAUGGUGCUCACCUUCUCCCACAAGCACAUCAAAAAAAACCCCACAUCUAUAUGUAGAAUGAGUCACACAGAACAUCUACUGAACACUGGCAGAAGACCUUAAACCUCCAAAAAGGGCAAGAAUCCUUCCACAUACUUGGCUAGAACAAAAGG
rnacentral:lncRNA from 1 species